AACGCGAAGAACCUUACCAGGUCUUGACAUCCUGGGAAAUUCCCAGAGAUAGGUUUUUUCCCUUGGGACCAGAGUCACAGGUGGUGCAGGGUUGUUUUCAGCUCGUUUCGUGAGAUUUGGGUUAAUAGUCCCGGAACGAGCCCACCCCUUGAUUUUAUUUCCCAGCAUUCAGUUGGGCACUCUAAGGUGACUGCCGGUGACAAACCGGAGGAAGGUGGGGAUGACGUCAAAUCAUCAUGCCCCUUAUGACCUGGGCUACACACGUGCUACAAUGGUGGGUACAAAGGGGAGCGAGCCCGCGAGGGUAAGCCAAUCCCAUAAAGCCGUUCUCAGUUCGGAUUGGAGUCUGCAACUCGCCUGCAUGAAGUCGGAAUCGCUAGUAAUCGCGGAUCAGCAUGCCGCGGUGAAUACGUUCCCGGGCCUUGUACACACCG
rnacentral:rRNA from 1 species